UUUAAGUGACUUCCUUGUCACACCCUUCCCGCACAGCAGGACCAAGACAGUCGUCACGAUUCCUGGUGUGGAGCCCCUGUGGCGCGAGCUGUCUUCCCCGGGGGAGGCUGGAAAGUACACCUGCCUCGAGUUGUGAGCGAGCCCUCAGCCGGGGUCAAAGGCAAGUUCCCGCAGGACGGAAUGUUCUGUGUGGGUGCAAGUUGAAACUUCGGGGCCACGGCCUACCGGGUGUGUGCGCAGAGAUUCACAGCCGUGCGUGACCUGCCCCGUCCCGGGCCACCAGACCAGCCGUGGAGCCCCUGGAGCCUGGGUGCCUGUUCGGGAGGGACGUGAACCCCCGCCCAGCCUCUGCCCAGCCUCUGCAGAGCUCGUCUCCCAUGGAAUCGCCAGCUGAAUUCGGUGACCGCAGGGGGCAAAACCGAGCCUUUACUUUACCUCUUGUGCCACCAACAAGCUGAAACUUUUUAAUAAAACCAUCUGUUCUUCUUAAAUACUAAAUAAGAAAAUGUCAACAAAAA